AAUGGAAUAGGACUUCGGUUCUAUUUUGUUGGUUUUAAGAAUCCGAAGUAAUGAUUAAUAGGGACAGGCGGGGGCAUUCGUAUUGCGACGUUAGAGGUGAAAUUCUUGGAUCGUCGCAAGACGUACCUAAGCGAAAGCAUUUGCCAAGUAUGUCCUCGUUAAUCAAGAACGAAAGUUAGAGGUUCGAAGGCGAUCAGAUACCGCCCUAGUUCUAACCAUAAACGAUGCCAGCCAGCGAUCCGCCAAAGUUCCUCCGAUGACUUGGCGGGCAGCUUCCGGGAAACCAAAGCUUUUGGGUUCCGGGGGAAGUAUGGUUGCAAAGCUGAAACUUAAAGGAAUUGACGGAAGGGCACCACCAGGAGUGGAGCCUGCGGCUUAAUUUGACUCAACACGGGAAACCUCACCAGGCCCGGACACCGGAAGGAUUGACAGAUUGAUAGCUCUUUCUUGAUUCGGUGGGUGGUGGUGCAUGGCCGUUCUUAGUUGGUGGAGCGAUUUGUCUGGUUAAUUCCGAUAACGAACGAGACUCUAGCCUGCUAACUAGGCGUUUCCGGUAUCCACAAUAGUGCUACCGGCGAAUAAAUUUCUUCUUAGAGGGACAGGCGGCUUCUAGCCGCACGAGACUGAGCAAUAACAGGUCUGUGAUGCCCUUAGAUGUCCUGGGCCGCACGCGCGCUACACUGAAGGAAUCAGCGUGUCUUCCCUGGCCGAAAGGUCCGGGUAACCCGUUGAACCUCCUUCGUGCUAGGGAUUGGGGCUUGCAAUUGUUCCCCAUGAACGAGGAAUUCCCAGUAAGCGCGAGUCAUAAGCUCGCGUUGAUUACGUCCCUGCCCUUUGUACACACCGCCCGUCGCUACUACCGAUUGAAUGAUUUAGUGAGGUCUUCGGACUGGUGCGCGGCGAUCGCCUCGUGUGGUCUGCCGA
rnacentral:rRNA from 1 species